UGUGUACUCCCUCCAUUCCAAAAUACUUGACUUCCAUUUGUCCAAAAAUGGAUGUACCUAUAUACUAAAACAUGUCUAGAUACAUAUAUAUUUUGACAAAUAGAAGACAUGUAUUGUGCAAUGGAGGGAGUAGAAU
rnacentral:pre_miRNA from 1 species